rnacentral:rRNA from 1 species
UACGUAGGGUGCAGGCGUUAAUCGGAAUUACUGGGCGUAAAGCGUGCGCAGGCGGUUUGCUAAGACAGGUGUGAAAUCCCCGGGCUUAACCUGGGAACUGCGCUUGUUACUGGCAAGCUGGAGUGUGGCAGAGGGGGGUGGAAUUCCACGUGUAGCAGUGAAAUGCGUAGAGAUGUGGAGGAACACCGGUGGCGAAGGCAGCCCCCUGGGCUAACACUGACGCUCAUGCACGAAAGCGUGGGGAGCAAACAGG